AUGGUGUUGGCGGCCACUUUGUACCAACAAUCCGAGAAGAAGCCAUUCGAUUCUACCUAUUAUUGGAUGAAAUUGAAGGGCAAACCAAAGUGGCAACAUCUUGUGGAUGACCUCAAGAACGACAAGAGGUUGAAGAAAAAUGCUGGCCUAAGCUCCCAACAAUUCAUUGGAUUGGAUGAGAAAGAGGAAGAAGUUGUAGGGGAGAAUGGACGAGCCGCCGUGCCAAUGAAGAACUGGCAAGUGAUGGGAAACACGUGGGAGAAGGGAAGGGCCUCCCUGAAGCCGUGGCGAGUAAAAUGUCUGCCAUGCGGACGAGCAUUUUUUUCACAAAGGAGGAGAAGAAAGAGGAGAGGCACAAGCUUAUGUUGGAUGCGCAAAAUAAAAAGAUAG
rnacentral:rRNA from 1 species